AUAAGCUAAGAAAACCGGUGCAUAAAGAACAUUGGAGAGACCACUGAUGCUACAUAUUCAGUGAACCCCCCUAAGCUUUGUCCUUCUAAGAUUGGACCAUCCAGAAAUAUAGUACCUUGGGAGGUAUGUCCUGAUUAAUGAUACUCUCUUUUUGUUGCAGGUGGUGCCAAAAAAUUACCAGCAGACACUGGCUCUGGAUUUUGUUGAGAUGAUCCAGAGAAAGCCUGAUCAGAUGUCUCAUAUUGCUUUAGGAUUCCUUAUCUAAGGAAACCCUUGGUGAGCUCCUGGAUAUGGCUGUCUGAAGAAGGUCACACCAUCCAUAAGUAUACCUAUGAAAGGAAUGGAAAGUUCCUCACAUGUUCUCACCAAGAACAGUGAUGCCAAUUUGGUCCAUCUGGUGUGUAAAGCUGCAGAGUGGUACCCAGAGCCUGAGGCAAGCUGGAAACCUCCAAGGACAUAAUUUAAAGCCACCCUCUGAAAAUGACGGAGCAAAUGGGAAAGGCCUAUUCUCUAGUGAAACUUCAGUCCUGGUAAUUGAACUCAAAAAUUGUGCUCUGUUCCAUUCUCAACUCCAGGCUCAACCAGAAAAAGUGGACAAGUAUUUCUGUUUCAGGGGAAGGAGUUCAUUACCAAUGGAGCUGCACUGCAAAUGUUAAAAGAGGUCCCAUAAUCACGAGGAAACUAUAGCAGAUGGACAUCUGGAAAAUGAAUAAAACCAGACCAUCUCAAAGGGCAGAGCCACCUCCUACCCUUUCCCACAAAGUGUAGAGAUCGCUUUGGAUUUACAGGAAUUCAUAGCCUUUGCCAAAAAACCUGCCUUUUUUCACAAUGGAUCACCUAUUUCCUCUACGAGUUUGGUAUCUGUGCUGCGGAACUUUCCUGGCUCAAGGUUCCUUGGAAUUUCCUGAGUGAUAAGAGCACUGGGAGCAUCUUUUGUCAUCAUAUUUGGUCUCUUGGCCUCAGUUCCUGAAAUUGCUUCAGAGCCGUAGAGAUGAGGAAAUUGAGACUCAAAGAGUUUGUUAACUUGGCCACAGUCGGAAAACAAAUGCAUAGUGAAGCCAAGAUUCUUCAGGCCCUUGCUCCUGGAAAAGGAGGGAGGGAGGACAGUGGCCACCAUGUAAUGCAAAGUGUGAAUUUCCCCACCCAGACAAGAUGGUGGGCUGAGGUAAGUCAUGACAGCCAUCUUUGCAAUGCUCAGAAGUUGUCCUGAGGAAAAGGAAGUUGAUCUCUUCAGGGUGGCCCCAAGAGGGCAGAGCUGUCAUCCCAAGGCCUGACUUCCCUCUUACUGAAGGAAGAAUUUUAACUCAACAGCUGACAAGGAGUGGUUUCAGCAAGAAGUGGACUCCUUUCCACUGACAUGUGGUUCUCCACUUUUAACCUGCUCACUGAUCACCCAGGGAGCUUGUUUUUACAAAACACAUACUCAAGACCUUUUUCCAGGGAUUCUCAGUAAGUGUGGAGCAGGACCCUGGGUGAACCUGUCCCAGGAGGUCAACACUAGGAUACUGAAGAGGCAACACGUGGCAACCCUACUAUUAAAGAGGGGAUUCCUUCAUUAUAGGAGAGGUUGGACUGGAUGAUCCCUAAAUUACCUUCAGAGUCACUGAAACCAGAACUGUAAAAAUAAAAUGCUGAGCUGCUAGGAACUAGGAUUGGCUGGAAACUUCUGUGAGCUAAGGGCUCCACUUGAUAAAAAUAGCUGUAUCGCCAUCUGGUGGACUGCCUAAAAAGUUUUUAUUUGCACUCCUUUAUCCUAAAACCAUAGCAUGAUUUUUUUUUUUUUUUAAAUUCUGAUGCCCUUCACUUUACAAACCAGGAAUCAGACUCAGAAAGGCUAGAGCCUACGCCCCACAUCCAGCCAGCAAUCCCCAGUGUACUGCUUCCCGUAGACUUGAAUUGCACAAGACUGAUCCUAGGCUUAUCAAUCACAAAAUGUUCCAAGUUUUUCCUCCAGCAAGCAGUUAGGAGAAGGUUUAAGUUUUAGACAGCUGUCACGAUGCAACAAAGUUCCCAGAUACUUUAGUACUAUAUCUCUCAAAGGAUGGGGCACUGCAUUAAAAAUGCAGAACUCUUGGCUCUAUCUCAUGUGCACACCUAUAGACUGACAGUUGGACGGUGGAUGCUUCACAGCCUGUGGGAUCUCUCCAACCUAACCAGGUCCCAAACAGAAACCUCACAUGUGUGCAUCUGAUUAGCAAAACCGAAAUCACUUCUGAAUCUCUGGCCACAGUUUAACGAGGGAGAUAUAGUGUUCGCGUUCAAUGUCGUUUCUCACUUUCCAGCUUCUGUGACCCCGGAAGGCAUCUUAGGGGAAAAGAAAAGAAAAGCAAAAUUUGGGAGAGAUGCUGAGCAAACCAAUCAGAAUCUUAUAUAUCUAUCCCCCUUGACCAUCCCACCCCCGCCCCCCCGAACCCUCCUCUCUUACCUCUAUGUUGCAAAUUCCUGGAAAGAGUUGUCUUUCUGUUUCCACUUCCUCACCUCCCACUCAUUCCUUACCUCACAACUGCAUCCCUCUCAUAUCGCCUCUCGGCACAUGACCUUUCCAAUCCCCUUGCUUUGUCUCCCCCUCACCUCCCAGCCCCCUUCCACUCCUAU